rnacentral:ribozyme from 1 species
ACUUCGUCGACUGCAUGAUGCUCUCACCGACUCCACUUCACUGUUUUUUCCGAAGACUAAGUUAGAUCUACCAUCGCCUCACUUUCCGUGACGUGAAGUCAUUCGACUACAUUCACAUCGUCUUGCACACUGACAAUCUGACACGAUGGCACAAGAGACGAUCUCUACGCAAUUGACGGAAAUGCUG